UAGGGAAUUUUCGUCAAUGGGGGGAACCCUGAACGAGCAAUGCCGCGUGUGUGAAGAAGGUCUUCGGAUCGUAAAGCACUGUUGUAAGUGAAGAAUGCCACAUAGAGGAAAUGCUAUGUGGGUGACGGUAGCUUACCAGAAAGCCACGGCUAACUACGUGCCAGCAGCCGCGGUAAUACGUAGGUGGCAAGCGUUAUCCGGAAUCAUUGGGCGUAAAGGGUGCGUAGGUGGCACGAUAAGUCUGAAGUAAAAGGCAACAGCUCAACUGUUGUAUGCUUUGGAAACUGUCGAGCUAGAGUGCAGAAGAGGGCGAUGGAAUUCCAUGUGUAGCGGUAAAAUGCGUAGAUAUAUGGAGGAACACCAGUGGCGAAGGCGGUCGCCUGGUCUGUAACUGACACUGAUGCACGAAAGCGUGGGGAGCAAAUAGGAUUAUACCCU
rnacentral:rRNA from 1 species